CGCUCUUUGUUUACUCAAUAUAAAGAGUCGGACCUGCCCAGUGAUUUUAUUUAACGGCCGCGGUACUCUGACCGUGCAAAGGUAGCAUAAUCAUUUGCCUUAUAAUUAAAGGCUAGUAUGAAUGGUUUGACAAGAAUGGAGCUGUCUCACACAGAUUUUGUAGAAUUUGGUUUUUAGGUGAAGAAACCUAAAUAAGAUUGAAAGACAAGAAGACCCUAUCGAGCUUAAAAAAAUUUGUUUGAAGUUUUGUUUAUAUCAGUUUCAGGUGAAGAUUUUGGUUGGGGCGACUAAGGAACAUAAAAAGCUUCCUAUAAGAUUUAUAAACUUUUAUGUCUUGAUCCAAAAAUUUUGAUUAGCAGAUUUAGUUACCGUAGGGAUAACAGCAUAAUCUUUUUUGAGAGCUCUUAUCGAAAAAAAGGUUUGUGACCUCGAUGUUGGACUAGGAUAUCCAGAAAGGUGCAGAAGCCUUCAAUGGUUGGUCUGUUCGACCAUUAAAAUCCUACA
rnacentral:rRNA from 1 species